UAGGGAAUUUUUCACAAUGAGCGAAAGCUUGAUGGAGCAAUGCCGCGUGAACGAUGAAGGUCUUUAAGAUUGUAAAGUUCUUUUAUUUGGGAAGAAUGACUUUAGCAGGUAAUGGCUAGAGUUUGACUGUACCAUUUUGAAUAAGUGACGACUAACUAUGUGCCAGCAGUCGCGGUAAUACAUAGGUCGCAAGCGUUAUCCGGAUUUAUUGGGCGUAAAGCAAGCGCAGGCGGAUUGAAAAGUCUGGUGUUAAAGGCAGCUGCUUAACAGUUGUAUGCAUUGGAAACUAUUAAUCUAGAGUGCGGUAGGGAGUUUUGGAAUUUCAUGUGGAGCGGUGAAAUGCGUAGAUAUAUGAAGGAACACCAGUGGCGAAGGCGAAAACUUAGGCCAUUACUGACGCUUAGGCUUGAAAGUGUGGGGAGCAAAUAGGAUUAGAUACCCUAGUAAUCCACACCGUAAACGAUAGAUACUAGCUGUCGGGGCGAUCCCCUCGGUAGUGAAGUUAACACAUUAAGUAUCUCGCCUGGGUAGUACAUUCGCAAGAAUG
rnacentral:rRNA from 1 species